GACACUGGGUUUACAUUGUGGCAUAGGAUAGGCCCCGUAUUUACAGUAUGCUUCAUUCUAUUCUAUCUCACCGCAGAGAUUAUGUUGUUGUUGUAGCCCAUUUGAAAAGGUUGGGACAGCGCAUACAGACACGUUUCGAUUACAGAGGGGACGCAGAUGGUGGAGGAGACCUACGGGCAUUCUGUCACGAGUUUGCAGUAACAAUAGGACGUAUAUUUAUGGCAGCUGGAGUCCGUAGCCUACACGCGCUUGCAUACAAAAUACAGACAUCUGCAUACUGGUUAAUUCCUCAUGCCAUCCAAACACUCCUUUGUCCAGGCUUCUGUCUUUUUAUUUACUCUCUUUUAACCGCCCAUCAAAGGCAGCUGCUCGCCAGACCUCAGCUCAAGCAACGUGACGCACUCCACAGCUCGUCCUCAUUUUAGAGGAGAUCGAUGCAUGGAGGAUCGGACACAGCUCGAGCGCUUCAUCGCACCCUUACUGACACAGAUGCUGCGAGACUGGUGCAUUUUGGACCGGUGGUCAAACUUACAUAAUUGCAAAAGUGGCCAAACCCACAGCCCAGCUGGCGGGAUGCAAGUCCCCAUGAUGACUGGGGUUCCCUGGUGUCCCUGACUGACUGGUGAAUACAGGAGUUGGGAGAGACAAAUGGGUAUGUGUCCAGUAUAUCCUCAUACUGUGGAGGGGGUUCUUGUAAAGGCAGAGGUUUAACAGCCGUUAUUGAUGGUCAUUUUGUCUUGUGUGCUCCAUUCCUUGAUAUUUUUUAUUGACUAUUGUUGGUAUGAGGGGAGUUGCCGUAACAAGUUAUUCAUUUAAAUUAGGUUAGUUCAAGGUAAAAAAAAUGUCAAAUAAGUUAGAAAAAAAGGUUAUUCAGGUCCAUUAGAUACUGUUCCUCAACGCCUAUGAUUCUUGGUGAUUUUGCAGAUUCAUUUAGUAACCCUGGCCUACUGCAGUUCAUAGUAUCUAUUGGCAGUACAUUUACAUUUACAUUUAAGUCAUUUAGCAGACGCUCUUAUCCAGAGCGACUUACAGUAGUCAAGGCCAAUGGUCCAGCAUGUCCUUGGUAGGGUUUUGGGGACAGGUGUUCCAGGGGGUUGCGUUCCACUUUCUGCUGCUCUCUGCUCUGUGUUUAUCUCCAGAUAUAUCCUGAGGAAGAUGCUGGGAUGGUGCCAGACCUCAGAGCCUAUUUAGACGAGUCAACAACAUGUCCUGACCGACAAGGCUGUCAACAAAGCUGUUUUUAAACAGUUGUCAACGCGGUUCAUCCUUACCGAACUGGGACGGGAACUGGGACCUAUGGCUUUCACCCACUGAGAAAGGGGCACAACAUUGGCAUUCACCCACUGCUGAUGGGGCACAGCCACACUUCUUUAGCUAUCAAUAUGUGUUAGAAGUGUAUCACCUUGCUGUGAUUAUUUGGAUAUUUUACUUAGCCUACUUAAAAUGGAAGUGUCAUUGGCACAUUGCUGGUUCCCCUUUAACCUUUUACUGUAAUGCGCUAAAUCAGUCACAGUGUUUCUUGGUUGUCUUAAACAAAUCUGCUAUGAAACAAGAGCAUACACCUCACACACAUGGUUAUGGGCUUAAAAAAAGACCUGUACCAUAUCAGAUAUACAUUUGAAAUGUAUUCAAUUGUGAGUUUGCAUCCCAAUAUUACAGUUUAUAUACAUCAAAGAAGACUGAAACAUUACGAAACCAUAGAAACACAGAAUUCUCGGCGGGUUUUUGAAAUAAUGUUUAUUAAUGAUGAAAGAUAUGAAUAACAUUCCACCCAUGAGUCCACUAGAGGGUGAUUUGGUCAUUUGACUGCAGCAAAGGGCUACUUGUAGUCUUUUAUGCCACAUUGUUCAGGACUUUAUUGGAUAGGACCACAUUUCAUGCCAUAAGAGAGACUCAUAAGGGGUGGGGUUGUAGUGUUGUGUGUCUGAUGCUUUGGUGCUUUGCAUUUCCUUCCCUGAAAUACUGUUUAACUGAGGGAUGCUUUCUCUCCCCUCCUUUGUAAAAUAACUCUAACACGUUCUGAUCCCCCUUCCACACUGUUCAGCUGAUCAAAGCACUGACACUGCAGUUGACUAACACCUCUCUCUGAUGCCUGCUUCUCCUCAUGCUGUCAGCACUGUCCUUUCUCUUCUCUGUAACCUUGGCAACACUUUAACGCCUUACUCACCUCCUCCUAUCUCGGACGUCUAAUAUGACUAACAAGAUUGAGUCUGCUGAGAUGGCCUUGCUGUUCAUUUCAAUGAUGUGCUCCUAACCAAGCUAGCAGGGAGCAUACCCAUGACAAGCCUGUGCGGCUGGUUUGGUAACAUUAGUCUACCCUAACGUUACAGGAAUGUUGAGGAUGUUACAGUUGUGUCAGUGUGUGUAGCUGUGUUUGUGUUGGAGGUGUCUCUCAAUCUUACCGCCGUAGUUUUUAGAUGGUUUCCUGAGGCCUUGUUUGUCUUGUGAUUGCUGCAUGUACUGGUAACUCUGAGUAACCUUAGCUGGAGUCGCAAAGAACUAACCAACAGUGGGGUAAUCCUGGUUUACUAACCUGGACUAACAGUCUAACAUUCACUAAUCAACCAAACUGAAACCCAAGCACUGGAGAAGUGCCUUGUCUGACUCUCCCUGGUUAAAACCUAAUGGUCUGUUAAAACCACUGUGUGUGUGUGUGUGUGUGUGUGUGUGUGUGGGUGUGGGUGUGUGUGUGUGUGUGUGUGUGUGUGUGUGUGUGUGUGUGUGUGGGAAGGUGUGUGGGUGUACAUUGUGUGUUUAAGAGUGGGGCUGUUACUGUCAUUAAUAUUCUUACACUCUGAAACCAAACCCCCAACUGUCAACAGCUCUCUUGGCAUUCCUUAAUAAAUACACUAACAAUACCCCUCUAAUACCUAACAGUACUAACGUCUGCUAACAGACCUAUUGUUACUAAUACUCAACUGUACUAUGGAUGAUGUUGGCUGGACUUGUGAUUUCUAACACACUGACUAACCCUUUGCUUUGUGCCCUGAGUCUGAGACAGAGUCCUCUCACAUUUUCCUGAAACCCUUCUCCCGCCAGACACAGAUCACCCAAAAUCAUAUACAAGAACUAUGUAUUUAUCAAUCUGUUAUAACCUUAAGUGUGAUAUGUUGCUUGAGACAUGUUACUUUUGGCCCCCUAAAGCACAAUGGUGAGUGAUUCCAGGAUCUGGGAUGGAAAACUGGAUCAACCAAUAGAUUUAAAGAAAAAGCGCACCUAGGUUGACCACACACUUCUGCUCAGGGUGACGAUUGAUUUAAAAAAAAUAUAUAUUACAAAUCGUAAAGUAACUAUGCUAAAGAAUUGUAUUUCAUUAAAGCUAGAGAAUUGUAUUUCAUUAAAGCUAAAGAAUUGUAUUUCAUGUAUUUCAUUAAAGCUAAAGAAUUGUAUUUCAUUAAAGCUGUAGUAUUCUAUCUUAAGAAAUAAUGGCUGACAACAUUUUGUCCCUCUGUCCAUUGUGUGGCCAACCUCCAAAAGGUGUUGCAGCUCAGUGCUUGGUUUGCAGUCUGCAUAGACACUGGUGUGUAUUAUCUUAUAAGAUAAACCAAAGGAAAUAGCAACCCUUUCCUGCUUUACUACUAACUGAGUGGUGACUGGUAUACUAACCACCCCAUAUGAGGCUUAACAAUUUGGCCAUUGAUUCAUUGCUCUUACUAACAUACUGUAUCUUCCCACAUAAAACAAUGCUACAUUUUACUAUAGAAUACUAUAGUACACUCUGUAGUAUCCCUGGAUCAUGUGUAGAAUUACUAUAUAAUUUUGUGUUAUACUAUAACGGUAUACAGUAACCGAAAAGACACUGGUUCGAAUCCCUGAGCCGACAAGGUGAAACAUCUGUCGAUGUCUGUCGAUGUGCCCUUGAGCAAGGCACUUAACCCUAAUUGCUCCUGUAAGUCGCUCUGGAUAAGAGUGUCUGCUAAAUGUCUAAAAUGUAAAAAUGUAGAAUAGUAUACUGCACACUGUAGUAUCCCUUGAUUGUGUAGUGCUUACUAUAUACUUUUGUAGUAUACUGUGGAAUAUUAUACUACACACUGUAGUAUACUGUGGAAUACUAUACUACACACUGUAGUAUCUCUUGACUGUAUAGUGCUUACUAUUGGAUUGUGUAGUAUACUGGCGAAUACUACACUUCACAUUGUAAUAUCCCUCUAUCGUGUACUGCUAACUAUAUAAUUUUUUUGUAUACUGUAGAAUACUAUACUACACACCGUAGUAUCCCUCGAUCAUGUGUAGUGCUUACUAUAUAUUUUUAUUGUAUACUGUAUAAUACUAGAUUAAAUAAUACAGCAUUAUCUGAAAAAAACAUUAGUAAAUACUACAGUAAUGUCCACAAAAACAGUUUUUUAAAACUAUAGUUAUACUAGAUUAUUUUAAUUUGCGUAUGCUUCACAUUCCCAUCCCCCAUACAGUGGUGUAAUGUACUUAAGUAAAAAUAGUUGAAAGUACUACUUAAGUAGUUUUUUGGGGUAUCUGUACUUUACUAUUUAUAUUUUUGACUACUUUUACUUUUACUCCACUACAUUCCUAAAGAAAAUAAUGUACUUUUUACUCCUUACAUUUUCCCUGACACUCAAAAGUACUCGUUAUAUUUUGAAUGCUUAGCAGGACAGGAGAAUUGUCUAUUUCACAAACUUAUCGAGAGAACAUCCCUGGUCAUCCCUACUGCCUCUGAUCUGGCGUACUCACUAAACACAUGCUUAAUUUGUAAAUUACGUCUGAGGGUUGUAGUGUGCCCCUGGCGAUCUGUAAAUAAAAAAAAAACAAGAAAAUUGUGCCAUCUGGAAUUUUACAAUAUUUUACUUUUGAUACUAAAGUACAUUUAAAAUCAAAUACUUUUAGACUUUUACUCAAGUAGUAUUUUACUGGGUGACUUUCAUUUUUACUUGUCAUUUCUUUUAAAGGUAUCUUUAGUUUUACUCAAGUAUGAACAUUUGGUGCUUAUUUCAUCAUUGCCCCCAUAGCGCAAUUUGAGAUAACUAUGAGUGAGAUACCUACAUGCCACGUAUAGACCAUAUAUUGUCUUCCCUACAGAUUAUAAAAAAGAACAGAUGCUCUGAACUAUCUGAUCAGACUCCAGUUCUAUCUACCUACCUACAGGUUAUGGAACAUUUGCUAUUUUUGCCCAGCAGGUUUCCUCAAGGAGAAAUCCUCCAUUUCUAUGAGCCUCUCCCGAGUCCAAACGUGAGUUUGCAGCGAGGGGUCAAGAUUGUAAGUACCAAUUGGAUGUCACAAAAUUGGGGAGAAAAAGGGGUAAAAAGUACAAAAAAAUACUACAAAAAAACCUCAUA